GGGAAGGUGGCCGAGCGGUCUAAGGCGCCACGUUAAGGAUAUAUCCUUGAUCAUUCUUCUCUCCCCCGAGAGAACUACAAUCCGUGGUCUCGUAAGAGGCGUGGGUUCAAAUCCCACCCUUCUCA